rnacentral:tRNA from 1 species
UUAAUUGAAACCAAAUAAGAGGUAUGUCACUGUUAAUGAUAAAAUUGAAUUUAAAAUUCCAAUUGAA